rnacentral:rRNA from 1 species
UACGGAGGGUGCAAGUGUUAUCCGGAUUCACUGGGUUUAAAGGGUGUGUAGGCGGAUUAUUAAGUCAGUGGUGAAAUCUCCGGGCUCAACCCGGAAACUGCCAUUGAUACUAUUAGUCUUGAAUUCUGUUGAGGUGGGCGGAAUAUGUCAUGUAGCGGUGAAAUGCUUAGAUAUGACAUAGAACACCGAUUGCGAAGGCAGCUCACUAAGCAGAUAUUGACGCUGAGGCACGAAAGCGUGGGGAUCAAACAGG